UACGUAGGGUGCAAGCGUUGUCCGGAAUUAUUGGGCGUAAAGAGCUCGUAGGCGGUUUGUUGCGUCGGCUGUGAAAUCCCGAGGCUCAACCUCGGGUCUGCAGUCGAUACGAGCAAACUAGAGUGUUGCAGGGGAGACUGGAAUUCCUGGUGUAGCGGUGAAAUGCGUAGAUAUCGGGAGGAACACCAGUGGCGAAGGCGACUACCUGGCCUGUUCUUGACGCUGAGGCGCGAAAGCUAGGGGAGCAAACGGG
rnacentral:rRNA from 1 species